ensembl:lncRNA
CGCAGGGAAUAGAUCACGAGCAUAGAGGAGAAACAUACAUGUUUUGAACUAAUAAUUGAUCAUUAAAUGUUAUGAUGGACACCGCUUUGAGGUGGACUCCCUGGGUGCUGGUGUAAUCUGGAAGCUACGUGCCUGUUUCAUAGCUUGUUGAACUUUGGAAGUUAAGUGUUUUUUUUUCCAGUGUUGGAUUGAUGUUGUUGCAGUUAUGUCAGAGGCCAUCCUCACCUUCCAGUACCAGCUCAAUGGAGUCAUGGAAACAGUCCUCAAAACCGCUGUGCAUGAGAUCACUCGGCUGGUGAAGUACAGCUUCCUAGAAGAAGUGACCGGGAGCAAGCGGGAAGUUGACGUCUUGAAGGAGAGGCUGCAGCAGCGUGAACACAGAUGAAGGGAUGGAGAGGAGAAGAGGAGGGAAGAUAAAGAGCAGAAAAAGAAGAGGGAAGAGUGCGAGCCGAGGGGGAUGUGUUGGAGAUGUGGUUGUGCUGGAGACACUGAGGAGAGAGAAGAGGCUCUGUUAGGUGAAUGAGGAGAGAUAUGUGUGUGUAUAUCACACAAACGAUAUAGGAUCUAUAACUUUCUACUGUUUUGUCCUCCGCAGCAGAGGAAGGUUGUGUUAUCAAACAGGAGAUCUUCCAGUCAGGUGGACCCAGCACUCUCCCAGAGAGGGUCCACAGGAAAUGGCCACACCCAUCUCUUCCUGUGUCUCUGAAAGGAUGGAAGAGAGGGAGGCACAUGUCGUCCGCAUCAAAGAGGAGCCUGAUGACUGGGGGGGAUCUGAUUACCCAGAUGAUCACAUCCACAUAUUCCCCCAUAAUGAGCCAGAGUCGUCUGGAGAGAUUGAAGUCACAACAUGGGGCCAGUGAGCUUCUUCCUACAGUACCAGCACCAUGGACCAGGAAAGAGCAGCACCUACUCCCAAGGUCAGUGUGGGAAGAGCUUCCCUCAGCUCCGAAACCUGAAAGACCACCAGAAGUACCACCACACAGGGAAGAAGGCCUUCACCUGCUCCCAGUGUGGUAUGGGUUUUGUGUACGUGUGCCACCUCAGGGUACACAUGCAGCGCCACACGAGGGAGAGGGCCUUCACCUGCUCUCAGUGUGGGAAGGGUUUUGUGUACAUGUGCCACCUCAGGGUACACAUGCAGUGCCACACGGGGGAGAGGCCGUUCAGCUGCUCUCAGUGUGGAAAAAGCUUCAGCCUUCAGAGCGGCUUGAAGAGACGCAGGGUCCUUUACACUGCAGAGAUGCCUUACCACUGGUAACAGAUUCAAUUCUAGAGCGGACCUGAAAAGACAUGAACAGAUAGAUUCAUGCAGCAAGGUACACCUUUGAGAUGAG